GGAAGGGGUGAAAGAGACGGAUGCCCGACGCGCCGGGAGGCGGUCCCCUCUGGCAGAGGUGCCGGGUGAGGAGCCCGAAGCCACGCGGAUGAAAUAUCGGUUUUGAUUUAUUAUCUUCACUUGGAAAGAAGGACAGCUUCAGAGGCUUCCCAUUGGCUUUCCCCACCAUGAUAACUCAAGACCAAGGACCCUGAGCUUCUUACCAAUGUGGAGAUUGCUCCAGCUGCCGAAUAUGUACUCCAAAUUAUGCACUCAGGAACUAAGAAAAUGACUACUGGAUGGGUCAGUGUAUUCCUGGACCCACUGUAAGCUGGACGUUAUCCAGGACUCUGCUUAUUACCUGAUCCCCAUAAGCCCCCACACUUAGAGAGGAGCCAUGUGUGUUACAUACUUUGGGUAACACCUGUGAAAUGUCUGGGUAUUCCUCUUUCCUCAACAUAUAAUCAGUCAAGAAAAUGGCCGUGGGACACAGACCAAAGAGUAAUCAUUAAUUACAGUAAAUAUUUGUUUCAGUAUUGCAGGAUUCUUCUUUAUAGGGACCCAACAACCUCUUAAGUCAACAGAUUCUGUGGUCUCAGUGUGAAGAUAGGCUCAGGUCUGAGACUUGAGCAAUGAGCAGUGCCUUUUAUUAAGCAACUACUCCCUGCAUAGGGUAAAUAGCUUCUUGUCUUCCUCCAGUUGUAGAUGUUAGGCAACACUCUUGUUGGCUGCCCAUCUGUUUUUCCCCUAGGGAGACCUUAUGCUAUUAAAGCCCUCCACAGCCUCCUGUGGAUCAAGCCCCCUUGGCUGCUCCUCUGCCCUUGGCAGGUGUUACAGUAAUUACAUCUUCUGGGGUCCUCAUGGUUAAAGCCACCACCUGGCUUCUACUACUUCAGGAUCCUGUUAUCCCAAUGGAUAUUAUCAAGCCCAGCCCUGUGAUCGCCUCUCCUACCGUCAGCCCUUCCCUCCAGAGGAGAGCCUUCUCUGAACUUCUUAGUGAUGCUAGUGCCCCUAAUGCCAGUGCAUUCCCCAUGGCCAUAGAAUAUGAUGCAUCCUCUGGGCCUCCCAUGGAACAUUCCCCUCUGUCUGCCUUUGGGCUCUACACACACAAAAAAAAUUCAUUCAGGCAAGUCCACUUCCCUCAGCUCCUCUGUCCUUCUACCAUUUGCAAGGGCAAUUCGGGCAUUCCUGCUUUACUCUGCAUGCACUAUGGCUUUCUCUCAGCUUCUAAUAGUCACCUAGCAGUGAGUUUACCCAUCUUCUAGAGUCCCAAGUCCCGAGAAAGUGCCCCCAAGACAAUGAAUUUUUAUUUAGCCAGGGUUGUUCUGGAAUAGGAAUUAAAAGAAAUUAAAGAAUGUGUAAACAGAAACUCAGUUCUAUGUAAGAAAACCCAGUUCCCCCCGAGAAAGAGAAAGAGCUGGAGUCCUUUAAAUAUUAACUGCCUGUUUUUCUGUGGCUAGUGAGCCUUAUCUCUCCCUUUCCCAGGCAUUGUAAAGACCCUGUUUCUUUAGCUGUGCAGCUGCAAGUUCACUAGACAGAUAAACUCAAGCCGUUAAGACACGUUUUUCCUUGAAAAGUAAGAAAUGAUGUAAUGCAUGCCUCAAUUAAUUAAAUAACUGUCUUUGUUUCUUGCUUCUGUAACAUGCUUCUCCCUGCACAGAUCUCCCCCAACCCCAUAAAAUGCUUAAAAGAUAACUUGACUCUUUGUUUGGGGCUCAGUCCUUUGGAUGUUAAUCCGACUGGGCCGGUGCACCUAAAUAAUAAAUCCUCCUCAACCUCUUGGUA